UAAAAUCUUUUCAAAAGUACCUGCAAUGGUUUCUGUUUCAGGGUUGUGAUCACAUUAGCAAGGCUUACAUUCAGACAACUCUAGAUGGACAAACUUGCAGCAAAGACAGCAAGCUGGGGCCCUGUGGUCAAGAUUGGCCCAGGGGAAGCUUACAGUUUUUCCCCUGAAAUGGAAGAGAGGUAGAUACAUGGUCCAGCAUCAGUACUGGUAUUUCAAGAGCACACUGAACAUCUUCUACGGUACUGGUGCAGGUUAUUCUCUAUGCUGUCACAAAAUCCUCCAUUAAGCAUGCUGUGAAGAAGUCAUGGCAGAUCACUGCACCAAACUGAUUUUGAGUUAUUAAGUGGUAAUUUGCACCGAUGUUACAGCAACAGAUACAACCCCACAGAUGUCUGAAGGAAAGGAAUGAAAAUGAGAAUUAUGCAGGUCGGGAAUGGGGGAAUUAAGAGGAGGAAGCUCAGCUGCAUCCAAAUUCUGGUUACCCCAUGAAGGGAUGGGCUUUGCUUCUUUUCUGAGAAGGGCUGGUUGCCUUUCUUCAUAGGGGGUAAAAAGAAGGAAAAGAAACAGUAUUUCAGGAAGAUAUUAAGGGAAUUGCAAGCUUAUCCUUGAGAGAAGUUUAAGAGUAAUCUAUAAGCAUAACUUCAUAUCAGAGAAGGGAAUGGUGGGGCUGAAAAAAGGGAUCUGUACUGCUUCCUAAAGGUUCAUGUAGUUGAGGGGCUUGUGUGUAUGUGUUUAGAUAUAUCAUUCAUGUACUGCUACUCUACAUCGAUAUAUGUAUUCCUGCAUAUGCAUCGUAUCGAAUUUUACAGAGAAAAUCAAAUGACACGAGAAGAUCUCCGAGACAGUUCGGAUCUGAGAUAAAGCUUAGCGGCUUGGCUCUGACAUGAGCUGGGCAACAGGCUUGAGAGGAAGGCCAAGGCACACAGCCACAGGAUGGGAAACAGAGGCACAGGGAAGCAACACUGAUUUCCCCACGGCACACGGCAGAACCAGGAAUAAAAUCCAAGUCUCCUCAGGUUAAUCGGGGUUGAAUUAACAGAAGGAACCAAAGUGCUCGCAAGUAGCUUUGUGAGUGUUCCAGCAAAAGUUACAUGAGAUGUGA
rnacentral:lncRNA from 1 species